AUUGGCCAAUUGCUUAUUGCUAAGGUGUUCUUUCGGGAAACGACGGAGGGGCUCACUGGUUCUCGAAUUGACAGUUGGCGUCAUGUGCUGGCAUAUAUUAUCGAGGCGUUGGCAGUAGG
ensembl:ncRNA C16B8.9 ncRNA